rnacentral:sRNA from 1 species
AUGUGCCACUCGUACACUCCGGUUCUGAGCGCGCCGUCCGCACCCACCUGACGACCGCUCGCUACGUUUUGUUAGCC